UACGGAGGGGGCAAGCGUUAUUCGGAAUCAUUGGGCGUAAAGGGCGCGUAGGCGGCUUGGCAAGUCAAAGGUGAAAUCCCUCGGCCUAACCGAGGAACUGCCUUUGAAACUGCUUGGCUUGAGGCCGGGAGAGGGUAGCGGAAUUCCCAGUGUAGCGGUGAAAUGCGUAGAUAUUGGGAAGAACACCAGUGGCGAAGGCGGCUAUCUGGACGGUUUCUGACGCUAAGACGCGAAAGCGUGUGGAGCAAACAGG
rnacentral:rRNA from 1 species